AUGAACGCAGAGAUACUUUACAUGCAAACACACACACACACACACACACACACACACACACACACACACACACACACAAAUGCUGUUCCCAUUUCCCCCUGUCUUUCAUCUGACAAAGCGGGUAGUGACUGCGAGCUCAGAAUUGGCUGGCGGAGGUGUCUGCUGGUGUGUGGGCUCCAUUUCUGGGGCUUUAUCAAGCCCUGUCUCCGAUUUUCCCAUUUCAGACAAUCUUCCUUUGAAGACGUGGAUGACAUAGUAAAACCGAUUGCACUUGAGAGCCGAUUCCAUGACUAUUUUGCUGCAACAGCGCAUUCUGCAAAUUUCAGCUGCUUCACUAGCUUCUCCUGUUUGUUGCUGAACCGAUUAUCCUGUUCUGCACUUGUUCCGCGGAAGAAUCCCGAGUCCCAUCUUCUGCCUCGCUCGGACCUGAUAUUUGUUCUUUAUUCUCCUAAAGCGGAAAGGAAUGGCACCUUUCUGCAUUUCCUGAAAGGCACCCACCCACUACCUGGGAGAACUGGCCCCUGACUUUAGUGAUGAGCUUUUCUUUCUGGAAGAUGAGGAAGCAACCAAGGUCACGAUCGCCGCCCGUGUCACCUUCCCAUCUUCCUGGAGGGACGACCAUCCCUUCCGUUGGGUACCGCCUCGUGUCCCUGCCAUUUCGUUGUGUAGCAUUAAAACUAGG
rnacentral:lncRNA from 1 species